rnacentral:rRNA from 1 species
UACGUAGGGUGCGAGCGUUAAUCGGAAUUACUGGGCGUAAAGCGUGCGCAGGCGGUUCGCUGUGUCCGAUGUGAAAGCCCCGGGCUUAACCUGGGAAUGGCAUUGGAAACUGGCGGGCUUGAGUGUGGCAGAGGGGGGUGGAAUUCCGCGUGUAGCAGUGAGAUGCGUAGAGAUGCGGAGGAACACCGAUGGCGAAGGCAGCCCCCUGGGCUAACACUGACGCUCAGGCACGAAAGCGUGGGGAGCAAACAGG